rfam:Pararhizobium polonicum strain F5.1 contig_3, whole genome shotgun sequence.
UCCCUGCUUUCCAUCAGCGGGGGUUACUGAAGAGGCACACCUUCAUUGCCGGACGUGCGGUAGGUUAUCCUUCCAAUCAAUGGCAGACAAAGCGGAUCAAAGCUCUUGGCAGGGCGUUGUUCCACCAUUCGCGCAUCGUGCGCAUGUCUGGAUC